rnacentral:rRNA from 1 species
GACGAACGCUGGCGGCGUGCUUAACACAUGCAAGUCGAACGGAAAGGCCUCUUUCGGGGGGUACUCGAGUGGCGAACGGGUGAGUAACACGUGAGUAACCUGCCCUUGACUUUGGGAUAACUUCAGGAAACUGGGGCUAAUACCGGAUAGGAGCUCCUGCUGCAUGGUGGGGGUUGGAAAGUUUCGGCGGUUGGGGAUGGACUCGCGGCUUAUCAGCUUGUUGGUGGGGUAGUGGCUUACCAAGGCUUUGACGGGUAGCCGGCCUGAGAGGGUGACCGGCCGCCUUGGGACUGAGAUACGGCCCAGACUCCUACGGGAGGCAGCAGUGGGGAAUAUUGCACAAUGGGUGGAAGCCUGAUGCAGCAACGCCGUGUGCGGGAUGACGGCCUUCGGGUUGUAAACCGCUUUCGCUCAUGACGAAGCUUUGUGUGACGGUAGUGGGUAAAGAAGCACCGGCUAACUACGUG